ACAUUGCUUAUGCCUUCGGCCAACUCUGCAUAAAUCCAUAAAGUGAAAUAAAUAAUCAUGUGUUUGUGUGCUUAGUGAAAUUCAAAUGUUGAAUCCCCCUGAACCCUCUCUGCAAAGCCCCCUCUGUGGAUCUGAUAGCAGCCUCCGAUCUCUGUUUGUCCUUUUCCCGAGCCGACCAGCAAAAUGUCAGCGCGGCCAGAUUGGAUUGCUUUUAUUUAAACCAUAAAAUUUAUGUUUUUGCACUUUCACUUCAAUCUGCGGGCUCACAUCCCUGCAGCACACAUCCAAGCAUGUUUUCUUUUUUUUUCCCCGUCAGUGUCGGGUGGACACUUUAGGGAAAAGGCCGCCGAGAAGCUGAGAGAAGCUUCGGCCUUGAGCCAGAGAAUCAGGGGCAACAACAGCGUCUGAUUGGCUGACAGCCGCCGUGUUAUCCAUGCUCAUAAAAGCAGGAAAACAACCCCCCACCACCACCCCACUCCCACCCCUCGACGCCGCGCUGACAGGCUUAACGGUGAUAUGAAGGGAUGUGUUAUCUGCUGACUUCCAAAUUCAUAAAUCUUUGAGAUCAGAUGAAAUUGAAGCGGCUUGAAAAGCUCGAAGGGGAGAUUGACACGUCUGAGUGGCUCUGUGGGCGCGCUGCUGCAAACUGCAUGCUAAUGCGCCAUCAUGCAUAUGUUUGUAUGUCCUCAUUGUGUGUGUGUGUGUGUGUGUGUGUUUGCAGGUUGAAAACACAUAUACGCUGCUUUUCAUACUACCUACGUAAGCAUGCAUAUGUAUAAGGGUUAAGGCCGCACUUGUUCACGUAAACACGGCAGAUACUCCAGAGGAAACCGUGUUUUUAAUCUGAAGUUCUUCGAAUCUUGUUUUUUGGAGUUAACCAGCACAUUUUGGGUUUUCAUUCCUCAUCCUGAGUGACGCAGGAAGAGUUUAUCUCUUCUCCUGUCUAUGUUUGUCAGUAAAAUCACUGAAACUCACUCGAGAACUUCUCCUCAGAAGUUUAGAUCUUAGAGGGUUUUAGAGUUUAGGGUUUUGUGUUCUGUUCGUUAAGCAGGGUAACUUCGUUGAUUCCCUUCAACGUGUUUGACCUGAUGUUUUACAUUGAGGGAGUCUGUUAUUUAUAAUUUCAUUAUUUUAGCAAAGUUGGCCGGUGUGCAGAGACAUGAUAAGGUAAGGUAGACUUUAUUGAUCCUGCAUAAGAGAAACUGUUUCACAACCAGGACAAUAAGACAACAAACAGCACAGAGACGUCAGAAAAACAUAAACUACAACCAGAUACACGACAAACACAGUAAAGGACAAUGAAACAUGAUUUAAAAGUGGUAAAAUCAAAGAGAAGGACGUUAAAAAAUACGACUAAAGCCUGAUAAAAAUGAAUAAAUACUAAAAUAAAGACCUCUACAAACUAUGCAGCAGCGCCAAGUCAGACCCUCGCAAAUACUAUUAAAAUAUCUCACUGCUGCUGGAACAAAAAGACUUUCUUAGUCGUUGAGUGGAGCACCGAGACAUCACAAGUCGCUCACUAAAUGAGCUUUUAAAGACACGUGCAACCAGUGAUCUAUGUAGACUAGAAUUAACUUUAAUUUAGACCUGGUCCUCCUCUCAACAAUGGCCUCAAGAGACUCUGGAAGCAACACAACAUUCUGAGAAGUUGCUGCAAAGAGGGGAAAGAGAAAAGCAGAUGUGGAACCUUACAACAGACAAAGAUCAACAAGAGGCGAGACAGUCCACUCCAGAGUAAAAGAAGCUCGACUGCUGAGGAUAGUCUGGAUAGUCUGACCAUAUCCUGAAUCCUCAAAUAGAGGACACGCCUACGCGAGGGCGGAGACAUGGAGUCACACAAAGUUAAUUUUGAGAGUUUUUCAGGUCGGAUCAAGUGUUUUUUACACACUUCGAACUCAGUAAGUCCACAUGACACAAAAUCGAAACUUACGUACAAAACCGCAGACAUUUGAAGGAUUUAAUCAACUCCCCCAGUCUAACCCGGAA